UAACUGGAGAGUUUGAUCCUGGCUCAGAACGAACGCUGGCGGUGUGCUUAACACAUGCAAGUCGAACGAGAAAGUUUCCUUCGGGGAACUAGUAAAGUGGCGCAAGGGUGAGUAACACGUGAAUAAUCUGCCCUCGAGACUGGGAUAACCUGGGGAAACUUAGGCUAAUACCGGAUAAGAGCACGUCUCAUAUGGGAUGUGGGAAAAGGAGUCUCAAUCUUCACUCGAGGAUGAGUUCGCGGACCAUUAGCUUGUUGGUGAGAUAAAAGCUCACCAAGGCAACGAUGGUUAGCCGACCUGAGAGGGUGAUCGGCCACACUGGAACUGAGACACGGUCCAGACUCCUACGGGAGGCAGCAGUGGGGAAUAUUGCGCAAUGGGCGAAAGCCUGACGCAGCAACACCGUGUGAGCGAUGAAGGCCUUAGGGUUGUAAAGCUCUGUCAAAUGGGAAGAAUUAUGACGGUACCAUUAGAGGAAGCCCCGGCUAACUCCGUGCCAGCAGCCGCGGUAAUACGGAGGGGGCAAGCGUUGUUCGGAAUUAUUGGGCGUAAAGCGUAUGUAGGCGGCCGAGUAAGUCAGACGUGUAAGCCCGUGGCUCAACCACGGAAUUGCGUUUGAAACUACCCGGCUUGAGUACAGGAGAGGAAAGCGGAAUUCCCAGUGUAGCGGUGAAAUGCAUUGAUAUUGGGAAGAACAUCUGUGGCGAAGGCGGCUUUCUGGUCUGUUACUGACGCUGAGAUACGAAAGCCAGGGGAGCGAACGGGAUUAGAUACCCCGGUAGUCCUGGCUGUAAACGAUGGGCACUAGGUGCAGGAGGUAUCGAUCCCCUCUGUGCCGUAGCUAACGCAUUAAGUGCCCCGCCUGGGGAGUACGGUCGCAAGGCUGAAACUCAAAGGAAUUGACGGGGGCCCGCACAAGCGGUGGAGCAUGUGGUUUAAUUCGACGCAACGCGAAGAACCUUACCUGG
rnacentral:rRNA from 1 species